CGGUAACAACAGCAGCUGGCAACUUGUUAGAAACGCAGUUUCCAGGCUACACAUUCGUGAUAUUAAGACCGUGCCUGUGUCGCCAGGCCUUGGUCCUUCCCCAGGUCUGGUUUUAUAAACACUGGUGACCAAC
ensembl:snoRNA SNORA72 Small nucleolar RNA SNORA72